GUGAACAUGAAGACUCUGUGCGACCAACGUUUUGCAUUCCGACGUGUAACAGCCAAGCCAUUUACAUCUUCUACGGAACCAAGGGAUGAUCCGUUAAACUCGGCGCUUCCCGAUAAUCACCGAACCGGGGCAAUCCGCGACAGGCAGAACGUGACGGUCCCAGCCAUCACAGGAACUCUGAUCAUCUUAGCUCCUGUCGUUUUGGCUGUUGCAGGCCUGCUCUGUCGUUUGCGAAAAAGAAAAACAUUGACAAGUAUUAAGGAGUGCAGCUCCAGCGAAAUCGUUCGGAGUGAGAAUGUUUGUUAUAUAGGACAUACCAAUCCUGCCUGCCAAUACAAAGAAUCAUCUCCAGACAUAUUGUGUAUCUAUGAAAAUAUUUAGGUCACAUUCACAUCAAGAGAAGGCCGCUCAUCAUACAACCGAGUAGAUGAAGUCACAGGGAUAGAUGGCAGCCACAC